GUUAAACUUGGGCACGGGGGCGUGGUAAGAAUGGGGGGGCGGGGGUUAAUCUGAUUUACGGUGCGUAAAGCGUGCGUAGGCGGCUGUUUAAGUCGGAUGGGAAAUCCCCGAGCUUAACUUGGGAAUUGCAUUGGAUACUGGGAAGCUAGAGUAUGGGAGAGGAUGGUAGAAUUCCAGGUGUAGCGGUGAAAUGCGUAGAGAUCUGGAGGAAUACCGAUGGCGAAGGCAGCCAUCUGGCCUAAUACUGACGCUGAGGUACGAAAGCAUGGGGAGCAAACAGGAUUAGAUACCCCGGUAGUC
rnacentral:rRNA from 1 species